UACGAAGGGGGCUAGCGUUGCUCGGAAUUACUGGGCGUAAAGGGAGCGUAGGCGGACUGUUUAGUCAGAGGUGAAAGCCCAGGGCUCAACCUUGGAAUUGCCUUUGAUACUGGCAGUCUUGAGUACGGAAGAGGUAUGUGGAACUCCGAGUGUAGAGGUGAAAUUCGUAGAUAUUCGGAAGAACACCAGUGGCGAAGGCGACAUACUGGUCCGUUACUGACGCCGAGGCUCGAAAGCGUGGGGAGCAAACAGG
rnacentral:rRNA from 1 species